AUCACUCCGUGCUCCCGCCUGGCUCUCACAAGAGAUCGGCAGGGUGUCCUGCCUCACUGCCGAGCCCCCCGUGCCUCCACAGCCUUCACAGCCCCCGGAGCUCCGCCGGGCGCCGCUCCCCGCCCGCCGGCUCCUCCUUCCCGGCCUCGGAGCCCCGCAGCCCGCCGGGGCGGGACCGGGCUCCCUACAAAGAGCCCGCCCGACGGGGCCGGAGGCAGAGCGGCGCGGGGAGGCUCCGGGGACAGCACCGGGCACUGGGCACCGGGGACAGCACAGGCACCGAGCACCGGGGAGCCACGCUUUUCCCCGGGGAGAGGGGAAACUUCCCUGCCCCGUCCCGCCGCAGGCUCCCUGGUGCCCGCCCGCUUCCUCCUGCUCCUCCUCCUCCUCCUCCUCCUCCUCCUCCUCCGGCCGCAUCCCGCGGGGAGCAGCGGGCGAUGGGGCUGGGGGCGCCGUCCCCGGGGAGCCGUGCCCGCAGCCGGCAGCUCGCCGAGUGAAACUUUGCGGCGGGGGCGGCGCCCGGGCACCUCGCGGCGGAGCGGGCAAAGUUGUUUUUUUUUUUUUUUUUUUUUUUCCUUUCCCCCCACCCUUUUUCUGCAGCCCGGGAGCCGCCGCCCGCCCACGCCCCCCUCCCACCCCCCGGGGUGGCCGCGGCCCCGCUGCUAUGGCACCCGCCCGUCGCCGCGGGGCGGGCAGGGGGCGGCCGCCUCCGGCUGGCCCUGCGGUGGCGGCGGCGGGGGGGCGCGCAGCCCCCGGGCGCCGGGCGUCCUCCCCCGGCCGGCAGUGACCGCCCCGGCCCCGCCGCCUGCCGGCCCCCGCCCGAGUCUCGCCGAGGAUGGCGGCGGCGCCGGGGCCGGGCUCGGGGAGCUCGGGGAGCCCGGGCACCCCCUGAGCCAGCCGCCGCCUCCCCGGAGCAGCCCCGCAGUGCUCCCCGCCGUGAGACCCCGCUCCUCCCCGCAGGGAAGUGUUCACACAACCUGAUAAUGAUUGCAACUGCUUCAUAAUUGCAACCCGUCCUGUAAGUAAAGGCAUUAUGUUCUGGUAUGAAAUGUAUGUCUGCCUUUCAUUAUCACAGACAGAUGUGGCUACAGCCUUUCACAUCACAUGAGCUGAAGGCUGUAAAUGCUGCUGUGAUGCUCCUGCCAUUUCACUUUACCACAAUGACUA
rnacentral:lncRNA from 1 species